rnacentral:rRNA from 1 species
CACGUAGGGUGCGAGCGUUGUCCGGAAUUAUUGGGCGUAAAGAGCUCGUAGGCGGUGUGUCGCGUCGGCCGUGAAAACCUGCAGCUUAACUGUGGGCUUGCGGUCGAUACGGGCAUCACUGGAGUUCGGCAGGGGAGACUGGAAUUCCUGGUGUAGCGGUGAAAUGCGCAGAUAUCAGGAGGAACACCAGUGGCGAAGGCGGGUCUCUGGGCCGAUACUGACGCUGAGGAGCGAAAGCGUGGGGAGCGAACAGG